rnacentral:rRNA from 1 species
CCUACGGGAGGCAGCAGUGGGGAAUAUUGCACAAUGGGGGAAACCCUGAUGCAGCGACGCCGCGUGAGUGAAGAAGUUAUUCGUUAUGUAAAGCCCUAUCAGCAGGGAAGAAAAUGACGGUACCUGAGUAAGAAGCCCCGUCUAACUACUUGCCAGCAGCCGCGGUUAUGCGUAGGGGGCAAGCGUUAUCCGGAUUUACUGGGUGUAAAGGGAGCGUAGACGGCAGUGCAAGUCUGGAGUGAAAGGCGGGGGCUCAACCCCCGGACUGCUCUGGAAACCGGACGGCUGGAGUGCAGGAGAGGUAAGUGGAAUGCCCGGUGUAGCGGUGAAAUGCGUAGAGAUUAGGAGGAACACCAGUGGCGAAGGCGGCUUACUGGAUUGUAACUGACGUUGAGGCUCGAAAGCGUGGGGAGCGAACAGGAUUAGAUACCCUAGUAGUC